UGCCCCGCGCUCCGGGACAACCGCUGGAAACGGCGGCUAAUACCGGAUGCUCCGGGGAGGCCCCAUGGCCUCCCCGGGAAAGCCUUAACGGCGCGGGAUGGGGUCGCGGCCCAUUAGGUAGACGGCGGGGUAACGGCCCACCGUGCCCGCGAUGGGUAGCCGGACUGAGAGGUCGACCGGCCACAUUGGGACUGAGAUACGGCCCAGACUCCUACGGGAGGCAGCAGUGGGGAAUUUUGCGCAAUGGGGGAAACCCUGACGCAGCAACGCCGCGUGCGGGACGAAGGCCUUCGGGUUGUAAACCGCUUUCAGCAGGGAAGACUUUGACGGUACCUGCAGAAGAAGCUCCGGCUAACUACGUGCCAGCAGCCGCGGUAAUACGUAGGGGGCGAGCGUUAUCCGGAUUCAUUGGGCGUAAAGCGCGCGUAGGCGGCCGCCUAAGCGGAACCUCUAAUCCCGGGGCUCAACCUCGGGCCGGGUUCCGGACUGGGCGGCUCGAGUGCGGUAGAGGCAGGCGGAAUUCCCGGUGUAGCGGUGGAAUGCGCAGAUAUCGGGAAGAACACCGAUGGCGAAGGCAGCCUGCUGGGCCGCCACUGACGCUGAGGCGCGAAAGCUGGGGGAGCGAACAGGAUUAGAUACCCUGGUAGUCCCAGCCGUAAACGAUGGACGCUAGGUGUGGGGGGACAGUCCCCCCGUGCCGCAG
rnacentral:rRNA from 1 species